GAACGCACAUUGCGCCCCUCGGCAUUCCGUGGGGCAUACCUGUUCGAGCGUCAUUUCAACCCUCAGGCGGUUCCUUUUGGUCUGUCUGGUUUUGGGCGUCGUCCAAGGACGUGCCUUAAAAGAAUUGGCAGCGUAGGUGCCGGCUUCGAGCGUAGCAGAUGCGAUUCGCUUUGGAAGCCGGCGCUCACCUUGCCAGAAUAAUCUCUAAAUGGUUGACCUCGGAUCAGGUAGGGAUACCCGCUGAACUUA
rnacentral:misc_RNA from 1 species